GUCUAAUUACAUGCCGUAUUAAGGCAAAACUGCAAAUAGCUCAUUAAAUCAGUACCAUACUUGCAUUGCACCUUACUAUUUGGAUAACUGUGGCAAUUCUAGACCUAAUACAUGCAACAGUGCUCUGACCCUCUGGGGAUAAGCGCUUUUAUUAGACCAAAACCAAUCGGACCUCGUGUCCAUAUUAAGUGGUGACUCUGUAUAACUUUGGGCUGAUCACAUGGGCUCUUCCCGGUGGCGUAUCUUUCAAGUGUCUGCCAUAGCAACUGUCGAUGGUAGUUACGUGCCUACUGUGGUUGUAACGGGUGACGGGGAAUCAGGGUUCGAAUAAU
rnacentral:ncRNA from 1 species